UUUAGUCAUUGCUCUCUUAAUUUUGUUGGUAGAAUGGUACGUAUCUAUAAUAUAUAUAUAUAUGUGUGUGUGUGUGUGUGUGUGAAUGACAUUUAUAUCAAACUCAGUCUGUAUUAAGAUAUCUAUAAUAGUGGCAGAAGAAAUUCGCACGACCAUUAAAAAGCUUGAAGUUUGAAAUACUGAAAAACCAAGUUUGAACUGAGUUAGUAUUUAUUUUUUAUUAUUUCUGUGUAGAAAAGGAAAAGAAUAAUCAUGGAGGCAUUCCUUGUUUUCAUUUUUGUCUUAAGUUUUUAUUUUUAUUUUUUGAGUAUUUGCUUUUAUUUCGCUGAUUUGGGCAUCGCGGGUCAGGGGCUCGGGCUCUCUCAUGCUAUUACUCUCUCACAUAUGGAUCUUAAUAGGAAUUGUUGAAGAGUGGGUUUUAGAAAUUUAUUUUCACUUCUUGGAAAAUCUGGGUCUGAGCUGCGUUAAAUGGUUUCAAGGUUCUCUCUCAAUAUCAUCUAACCCGGGUCUAAUUUCCAUUUUUGAAUUGGUAAACUAAAUGGGAUGCCAUUUAUAAUGGCACUGCUUGCUCCACAUGGUUCUAUUGUUCAUAGCAGUCUUUACAAGCACCACAAAUAGACCAAUUCCUACUGGGCUGUGAAUAAGUGACAAGUUUUAUGGGUCAUUCAACUUGGGGUUAGCAUACGAAUGGAAGUGAUAAGAUGGAGGAAAGGCCCUUGGACUUCAGAAGAGAUAAGAUGCUUACUGAAUAUGUGAGCUUGAAUGGUGAAGGAAGAUGGAGUUCUAUAACGCUCGGUCUGCAGCAUAGUGGGAUGAAGACACACACUUGAGAAAAUGAGACUCGAUACUCGAAAUCAAUGGGCAACAAAGUUUCUUUGAGGAGAUAAGUCGCAACUAGCGUAAUGUGUUAGUUGUUAGCUUUAGUUUCUUGUUUUCUCUGUACAUUGAUGUGUUUUAUAUAUAUUUGGUAUUAAAACUGGGUGUUUAAUUAAUAUAUAAUUUCACUAUAUAUAUAAAUUUAUAUUAGUUUUGGUUUUUUAAAUCUUAUGGAUUGGUAUUUUUGUGGACUUACUGGUUUGUGUAUCUACUUCUCUAUAUUUGUUGAAGGUAUGGCUCUAGUUUUUUCUAGAUCUACUUGGCAAUGAGCUUGGCAUCUUAUACAGGUAACUUGUAAUAAUGAAAUCCAUUGAUAAUCGUUUAAUUUAGCAAACACUAUUAUUGAAAUCGUCAACCAAAAAUUUCUUUCGCAUUUUGUAAUCUUAGUCAUACAGCAUGAAGUUUCAUGUUUCAUGGUAGCUAAUAAUCCUUGAGGCUAAAUCAAACAUAGACUUUCAUUUCAUUAGACUUUAGUUUGCUUGAAAGUUGAAAUCGUGUCUAAAGGACUUCAAAAUUGGUUAUAUAUUGUAUCAUUGUGUGUUCAUUUUUUUUAAUAAAGAGCUACAACUUAGUGUUUGAGGAACUAAAGAGAAAGAGUUGCUGCACUCAAGUCACUUCAACAUUAACUUGAGAAAUACAAGACAGAGUUGAACAACUCGUAUAAAAAUACUCGAGUAUACUUAUUACUCGAUCUUUUUGCAUAGAACUCAUUACUUUUAAAUUGAGAUUAUAUUUGUACCAAUCUGAUGAAAUAUAUUUUGUUUAAGUUUGUUAUGUAAUUUUUGCCUUUGUAAUAUGUAAAUUUGGUUUAUUUUUUAUUAUUGACUGUUGUUGGUGUAAU